AAAGAAAAUAUUUUGAGGAAUGCUGAAAACCGGUAACCAUUGACCUCCAUAGUAUUUGUUUUUCCUACUAUGGAAGUCAGUGAUUAC
rnacentral:miRNA from 1 species